GAUGAACGCUAGCUACAGGCUUAACACAUGCAAGUCGAGGGGUAACGAGAGGAAAGCUCGCUUUCCUUGUCGACGACCGGCGCACGGGUGAGUAACGCGUAUCCAACCUGCCCCCAACUAAGGAAUAACCUUGCGAAAGUAAGACUAAUACCUUAUAAUUUCCUCAGAUGUCAUCUGACGAGGAAUAAAGAUUUAUCGGUUGUGGAUGGGGAUGCGUCUGAUUAGCUUGUUGGCGGGGUAACGGCCCACCAAGGCAACGAUCAGUAGGGGUUCUGAGAGGAAGGUCCCCCACAUUGGAACUGAGACACGGUCCAAACUCCUACGGGAGGCAGCAGUGAGGAAUAUUGGUCAAUGGGCGAAAGCCUGAACCAGCCAAGUAGCGCGCAGGAUGACGGCCCUAUGGGUUGUAAACUGCUUUUAUACAGGAAUAAAGUUAGCCACGUGUGGUUAUUUGUAGGUACUGUAUGAAUAAGGACCGGCUAAUUCCGUGCCAGCAGCCGCCGUAA
rnacentral:rRNA from 1 species